rnacentral:rRNA from 1 species
CAGCAGCCGCGGUAAUACCGGCGGCCCGAGUGGCGGUCACUAUUAUUGGGCUUAAAGCGUCCGUAGCCGGGUUGGGAAGUCCUCCGGGAAAUCUGGCCGCUUAACGGUCAGAAUGCCGGAGGAUACUCCCAGCCUAGGGAGCGGGAGAGGCCGAGGGGAUUCCCGGAGGAGGGGUGAAAUCCUAUAAUCCCGGGAGGACCACCUGUGGCGAAGGCGCUCGGCUGGAACGCGUCCGACGGUGAGGGACGAAGGCCAGGGGAGCAAACCGGAUUAGAUACCCGGGUAGUCCUGGCUGUAAACGAUGCGGACUUUGUGUCGGACAAGCUAUGAGCUUGUCCGGUGCCGGAGGGAAACCGUUAAGUCCGCCGCCUGGGGAGUACGGCCGCAAGGCUGAAACUUAAAGGAAUUGGCGGG